rnacentral:sRNA from 1 species
GCGGUGCUUUUCUGUCUGUGUAAUGUGGAAUCUAAGCACAGCCAAGUGGAACGCAUUAUCAAUGGUGAAAAUGCAAAACCCAAACAAUUUCCUUAUCAAGUUUUUUAUGAUGUUGAAGUAAGAAAACAAUGGAAACCGAACUGAGGUGGAACUAUAAUCGGUAAGAAGACGAUUCUGACAGCAGCUCAUUGCUUGGAUGGCACCGAAAGGAUAAAAAUUUACCUUGGAGCCGUGGAUAAAAGUAAUAGCACAGAAACUGGACAACAAAUUGUGAUCGUGGAAGCUGGCAGUUAUGUGAUUCAUGAAGAGUAUAAUUUUAUCAAUAUCGUCAACGAUAUAGCUUUAAUUAAACUACCAAAUGAUCUGGAGUUCAACCAGUAUAUUCAACCAGCUAAAUUGCCAGAACCCAAUAGCCUUCAUGUACACAAAAAUGCUAUUGUCUCCGGUUGGGGCAGAGUUAAAGGUUUCGUAACAACUGAGCAUUUGCAAUAUACGAAUGUGAAAACAUUAUCAAAUGAGGAAUGCAAGAGUAUGAUCCCUUCUGAUAAUAAGUUUUAUUCACAUUGGCUAUGUGUUGCACCUAAUGAGAAAAGGACGUGCAAAGGAGACUCUGGUGGUCCAUUAGCCGAAAGAAACCCUGAUGGCUCUAGCACCGUGAUUGGUAUCGUAUCGUUUGGAUUUGGCCCUUGCCUUUCAAACUUUCCCACUGUUUUUACUCGGGUUGCAUACUUCCUAACCUGGAUCGCUGAACACAUCAACGAGCCCUAAAUAUUCUUUACGACAAUCAUGAAUAUUAAAUAACAAUAUAUACCAAAUAAAAUCUGCAUGAACUUUA